UCCUAAUCCACCUUCGUUUUGCUUCAAAUAGGCAAUUAAAGACGUAGUUUGGGAUGUCUUACUUUCCCCCCUCGGUGUAUAAUAUACUAUUAAAUUUUCCUAAACAAUGCUGUCAGUUUAGUUGGUUAUUGGAAUGACAUAGAUAUUGAGAAGUUUGUGGUAUCUUUAGAUGGCGCUAUUGUAAACUGUGUGUGCUCCGGAUGCCACGUAUCGUUGUAAGGGCACUCACUCUCAUUCUGAAACUCUAAGCUGACACGUGUAUCAGUACUGUUUGUUAAAAAUAAAUAUAUAUAUAGUUAUAUAUGUAUUCAUGGUCUUAAAUAUUAUUUGAUAGUUCACCCAAAAUACACCACAAUUGGUGACGAGGAGAAAACAGAAAAGAAAAUUGGUACGGAAAUAAGUAAUUAAUAAAAAUACAAUUAUAACAAGGUAAAUUGUUGGCGGCAUUUUACAUUAACGUGGCAAAAUAUCGAAAGAAAAGGUUGAAAAGAUGGCGAAGUGGGUAGGAGAGCAAAAGAGAUAUUUAGAAAAUGAACGUGCAGCAAUGAUGAGAGAAAGACAAAAGUUAAAUGGGGAAAAGCAAAAAUUUUCAAAAAGGUGUAUACAAUUGGAGCUAGAGAAGAAACAACUUGAAGAAUUGUGACUGGAGGAACUCAGGUUAACGGAAACGAGGUAAAAUUCGUAACAAAUUACACCAAUUGUGAUGGGCAAAAUAGGUAUAUGAGUGAAUUUAAAUUACAUGAUUGGACCGGUUGGAUUGAACGUUUUGAUCAUUAUGUGGAAAUUAAUAGUGUGAGUGAAAAUAGUAAAAAGUCACUUUUCAUUACAUCUCUAAGUUUAGAAGCAUAUGAACUGUUAAGGAAUUUAUAUGCACCAUCAUCGCCAUCAACAAAACUCUUCACAGAUCUAGUUAAAAUUAUGAAGGAUCAUCUUAAACCGGCCUCAAGUACAAUCACUGAAAGAAUAUCGACAGUUAGAUGAUCGAUGCACUGCGAUUUUUGAGAGAGUUUAGAAUCAAAUAUCCGGGACCAAUUUGUAUGGGGCCUAAAGAGUGGAGCGAUGAAAAAACGACUAUUAGGAGAAAUGAACUUGACAUACACAAGGGCCAUUGAAAUAGCUACAUCCUUUGAAUCAGCAACGAAGGAUGUCCUGAGAAUGGAAAAUUCCACAAUGCAGAAGUUGGAGCCAACAGAUUUUAAUUACAUCAAUAGAGAAAGGAAGAUUCCGACAAAGUUUAACAGGAAGUGUUUCUGUUGCGGUAAAGAUAAUCACGUAUUAAGUGAAUGAAUCGAAUAAAUGAAUUCGGACUUUUCAAGUUAUCAAGAGUUUUAAACUGGUCAGAUGAAAUUAAAUUUGUGGAAGAAGAGGAAAAGAGAGUAAAAAUAAUCGAAGAAUUUCAAGCUGUUUUCUCGGAGACAUUGGGGAAAUGUAAUAAAAAAAAGUUUAAGUUGGAAUUAAAAGAUGAUGUCACACCAAUUUGCUGCAAACCUAGACCGCUGCCUUAUUCCUAGAAAGAGAAGGUAGAAUUAGAAAUUAAACGUUUGGUUAAAAUGAAUAUUUUAAUUCCUGUAACUGAUAGUGAAUGGGCUACUCCAAUAGUUCCUGUUAUGAAAAGCAAUGGUCAAAUUAGAAUUUGUGGAGAUUAUAAAAUCACGUUGAACCAAAGUUUAAAAAGAACAAGCAUCCAAGACCGCGAGUUAUGAAUUUAUUUGCAAAUUUUAAAGGGGUGACUUGUUUUUCAAAAAAAGACUUAGACAGCGCGUAUCAGCAACUAGAGUUAGAUGAAGCCUCAAAAAAAUUAGUAACGAUUGCAACCCAUAUGGGUUUGUUUGCAUCUAACCAAUUAUGCUAUGGAGUUACUCCAGCUCCAGGAUUAUUCCAGAAUUCGAAAAUGUUCUUAAGAACAUUGGUAAUAUAGCUAUUUUCUAUGAUGAUGUUGUGGUUUGGGAAGAAACAUCAGAAAUUCACGAAAAACGUUUAUAGUUAGUUUUAGAGAGACUCAAAGAUUGUGGGUUAACGGUUAGGGCAGAAAAAUGCCAAUUAUACGCACGAGAAGUAGAUUUUUUGGGAUAUCCGUUGAGUAAAAACGGCGUGGGAGUUUCCGAUAAAAAAACAAGUGCAAUUUAAAAGAUACCUGUUCCUAGAAAUCAAAUAGAUUUACGCUCUUUCCUAGGGAUGGUCAAUUAUUAUUCGAAAUUUAUCAGGAACUAUUCGAGAUUCGUAGAGCCGUUAUAUCAAUUACUUAAAAAAGAAUGUGUUUGGAUGUGGUAGAAAGAACACCAAGUCGCAUUUGAUAGGAUUAAGGCAUGUCUACGUUCGCACGAGGUUUUCAUGCAUUACGAUCCAUCGUUGCCAGUCAAAGUUACCUGUGAUGCAUCUCCUUAAGGAGUUGGUGCAGUUAUUGCUCAUGUGGUGGGAAAGGAGCAGAGACCAAUCGCUUUUGCAUCACGGGUAUUGACUGCUACAGAAAAAAACUACUCGCAGAAUGAUAAGGAAUCCCUGGCUAUUAUAUUUGCAGUUGAAACUUUUCACCAAUAUUUAUUUGGUCGAAGUUUUAUAUUGAAGACAGAUCACAAACCAUUAGUUUACAUAUUUGGGUCAAAGAAAGGCAUUCCGAUCAUGGCAGCGAGUAGGUUACAGCGAUGCGCUGUAAUAUUGUUAUAGGGUAUGAUUUUUUUAUUAGAUAUAUUAAAGGAGUCGACAAUAAAACAGCUGAUUUUCUUUCACGGCACCAUAUCAUCCAGCAUCUAAUGGCGCUGCAGAGAAUGCUGUGUGUACGUUCAAAAAGAAGUUGAAGGCUCUAGUCAAAUCGGAGUAUGACCAAGAUGAGGCAUUGGUACGGUAUCUAUUCUACAGCAGAGCCACCCCCCAUGUGACUACUGCGGUGAGUCCCGCCGAGCUUCAGAUCGGGCGUAAAUUUAGAACGCGAUUGGAUUUGAUACGGCCGAUGCUACGAUACGAUAUAGAGUGCAAGAAACUAGCACAACAACGUACUGCACCGGGAAGUCGUGUGAUUCAGUUCGCGAAUGGUACGAAGGUCAUGGCCAAAGAUUACAGGAGCAAUUCCUGGGAGCUGGCAACUAUCAUUGAGCAACUGAGUCCUGUUGCAUAUCUAGUCGAGACCACUAAUAAUCAGUUGUAGAAGCGCCAUGCUGAUCAAAUAAGAACCUGCAGUCAAGGUAUAGAACGACGAACGAGUGAUUUAGCACGCUAUUUGGAGAGACGUGGCUUGUAGAGACAAUAUUCAAGGCUCGGGUGAACCGGUAGCGAGCAUUGACAGCAGUGAGCAGGCACUACCAGGUAUGAACGUUGACGAUAGUCUUCAGGAUCGUACGGAAGUUACAUGGGGUGGGUAGAAAUUGAUAAGUUUCUUUCCAAGGGAACAAACUCUCUAGUUUCUGCCUGCUAAAUUAGUUUUUGACUUCAUUCCAUUCCUGCACGAAUCGCAUUUAUUUAUUGUGAACCUUGUGGUGUAUUUUGGGUGAACUAUCUUAUAAUAUUUAAGACCCUGAAUACGUAUAUAACUAUGUAUAUUUAUUUUUAACAAACAGUACUGAUACACGUGUUAGCUUAGAGGUUCAGAAUGAGAGUGAGUGACCUUAUAAUGAUACGUUGCGACCGGAGCACACACAAUUUACAAUAGCGCCAUCUAAAGAUACCACACUCCUCCCUUGUUAGCCUAGUCCUUACAAAUUUAAACUUUCGCUGCAGGUAUGGCAAAAACCACAGCAGAAGGUAGGACAUCGCAGUCCGUGUGUAUGUUCUAGUUUUUUCUCUUAAGUUGUAGUAUACUAAUGAUCAUUUAUUAAUAAUUAUAAAUAUAUAUUAGACUGAUUCAAAAAAAUCGACUAUUUUUUUUCUCGAAAUCCCCUAUUAAAUAGUUGCAGGCAGGUGAAAUAAGAUGCUUAUGAAAAGAUGAGCUCUUAAUAUUAAUAUUCAGAGGUCGCUCAUCGCAAUAUUCUAUUUCCCUUUUGAAUAACAUGGGAAAAAAGACUUUUAAGUUUAGAAUUUUAUACCUUGGCAAUGACUCAUUACACGGAUAAGCUUAAGAUAUAUUUUUAUAAGGAAUUAUAUACUCUACAAAGAAAGUCUCUUAUCAUUUUUCGAUAAAUUAAUCUGUUCAAAAGUUACUGGGGCUUGAAAUCAAAUUUAUAGUUGAUUUCGAGAUCUUUUUACUUUUCCAGCGAAACUAUUAGACUUAUCACAAAGUGUCAUUUAUUUUUUUUUGCAU